AGUGAACGCUGGCGGUAGGCCUAACACAUGCAAGUCGAACGGCAGCACAGUAAGAGCUUGCUCUUACGGGUGGCGAGUGGCGGACGGGUGAGGAAUACAUCGGAAUCUACUUUUUCGUGGGGGAUAACGUAGGGAAACUUACGCUAAUACCUCAUACGACCUACGGGUGAAAGCAGGGGAUCUUCGUACCUUGCGCGAUUGAAUGAGCCGAUGUCGGAUUAGCUAGUUGGCGGGGUAAAGGCCCACCAAGGCGACGAUCCGUAGUUGGUCUGAGAGGAUGAACAGCCACACUGGAACUGAGACACGGUACAGACUCCUACGGGAGGCAGCAGUGGGGAAUAUUGGAAAAUGGGCGCAAGCCUGAUCCAGCCAUACCGCGUGGGUGAAGAAGGCCUUCGGGUUGUAAAGCCCUUUUGUUGGGAAAGAAAAGCAGCAGGUUAAUACCCCGCUGUUCUGACGGUACCCAAAGAAUAAGCACCGGCUAACUUCGUG
rnacentral:rRNA from 1 species